UAUUUACAUGUAAACAAAAUAAUCCUAAUUACUUGUAAAAGUAAGGUUAUAAAUUUAACAGAACUCUCUUUUAAAAGUAAAGUGACAUUGGUGGCGUUCAGCGGCGAAUGAGCAUAAAGUGAUCUGGUAGGAUCACAUCUCGCUCCUUCACGCUGAACGACCUUUGCGUUGUGCGCUACAUCAGAGUUGCCAGAUGAAAUUUCAGAAUAUCCCUAGACGGGAGCUUCAAUUUCCCCUAGAAAUCCCUAAAUCGUAUUAAUUUGACCUAAAAAAGAAGAAAUUGACAGAAGACAGCUGUCAAUUUAAUUUAUAACCUAUUAAACACUAUGUUUAAUCCACUUUAAUCAUUGAUUAGGUAAUGUUUUAAUGUUUACUUAGGAAUAUUUAUGUCAGGGAACAAUAAAUAAUGACAAUAAUAACAAUAUUUGAACAAAAGGAUAUUUAAUAACAACAAAAAAUGGCGCUAGCACAGUUGAAUAAAUCCCUAGAUUUCAAAAAAAAUCCCUCCAGAGCUCCAAAAGCUUCAAAAAAUCCCUAGAUUCGGGGAAAAUCCCUAGACAUGGUAACCCUGCGCUACAUCGAAAUUCGAUUCAUUCGAUUCGAAAAUGUAGCGGAGCGGUCGUCAUCUUUUGGAGCACAUUUUGAGUGUAAUAUUUUGAGUGUAGCAUAAAAUGACGCAUGCGUAAAAGCAAUAAACAGGUACUUUUGGCACAGUUUUGGUUCCUAUUUUGAGUGAACCAGAUUUAUAAAGGUAUCUAUUGUAUAAUAUAAUGUUACCUGGUAGAAAAUAAAACAGUAGCUAGAUGAUAUCUGAUAAUUAAUUAAACUAAAAAGGGGUAUUUCCCUGGGUUGGCUGUAUACCCAACAAAUUCUAACAUGAAGUAAAACCACCUCUAUGUAAUAUGUAUAAUUUACUAAAAUCUUAAAAAAUCCCAAUUGAUUGAAUAAAAUAUGUUCAUUCAGAACGUUUUCAGAAUGAUAAUUAAUUAUUUUUUCUUUAGAGUUUAGAGUAGACAAAAUUACAAAAUAAAGUUUGGUUAAGUUCUUGACAGCUAAAUAAAAUAUUUGACAAACAAACUGGAGCAAAAAUGUAGCGGAAUAUAAAGAGCAGUUCAUUCGAUGUAUCAGUAGCGUAAAUUGAUCACUCACCGCUGAACGCACCCAUUAGACUAUUUUUAAAAUUCCCGCUAAAAGGAAAAAGGUAAAUCUGGCAACAGUGCCGUCGUUUGCUGGACAUUUAAUCUCUCCCAAAUUUCGACCAAUCCCGUGCCGAAUUUCAUACAAUUUUCGAUACAAGAACUUGCAUAGUGUCAUACAGGGCACAAAUGUACGUACAAGAAAUGAUACAAGAAAAUGUAUACAAGAAACGAUAUCAGAAACGAUAUUAGAAAUGAUACAAGAAAAUGCAUAGUGUCAUACAGCCUUAACAUAAGAGAUGACCAACUUUCAUCUUUUACAGUGCGUUUCUUCCGUCUGGCCAAUCAUAAGGCAGAAUUUUGUUCUGUCACUCAAAGUGGACCCGCCCCGCCCCCUCAUUCCUUGUGUUGUGUAAAAAGUUGAUUGUCAACAUAUUCGAAUUUUGUUAAUUUGUUAAUACAAUGGAUGUUAAGUUAUUAAUUUAAUAAAAAUAUAUCAUAGAGUCAUUUCAAUAUUUCAGAUAAAUAUGAGUUGUUUAUUAGCCUAAUUCGUGGUUAUCCACACAUAUUAGGUCUGUUCCUUUGUUUUUUAGUGUUACACUUUUGAGUGUAAGUACGAAAUUCUAUGGACAUUUGAGUGUAAAAUGACAGCGGAUGUGACAGCGGCUCAUGACAGCGGACAGUAUUAAACGAAAAUUAUCGGUGUGCCAAUCAAGCAAAGGGACAAGGAACUUCCGAAUAUGGCCUAACCUUAGACAAUUGUCUAAGGGCCUAACUGGGGGCACAUAUCUACAUUCGCUCUCGCGAGAUUUUUUUUGACACUGACGUUAGUAAUUUCUUUUUUGAAAAAUUCAGUUGUCAGAAGUGACUGGAAAUUACUACAAAACCAACGCACCUGCUCAUAUCCAAUAUUAUUAAUAGUAAACAGACAUAAAAAUAACAUAAACCUUACGCCAAUCAAUAUUUAUUUAUUUAAACCAUUAUAAUGUAUUGAUAGCAAAUGAGAAAAUUAUUUAUUGUACAAAAUAAAAAUAUUUUUUAGAAAUAAACUUCACAAAAUUUUAUGAGAUUAGUAGACACUCCCACUAUUUCUAAUAAUUCUUCUUUUUUUAAUGAAAGAUUAAGUUGUUUUGAGUUGAUUUUAGCAGUUAAUAGUGUGAGGUAGGAAUUUUUGUGUUGUACGUUUCCUAUUCCGAAUGUCUCAAAAAAAAUCUCGCGAGAGCGAAUGUAGUAUAACAUAACAUAACCUAAUCCUAAUAUUUACAUUUGUAAAGAAUAGGCCGUUCCAAGAUGCUGUCAAAAUUAAAUCAAUAUGGCUACUGGAAGGCAAACAUUGAAUAUUAUUCUAUCAGGUUCUUAUGGUUUUAGAUCAUUUUCGUUGUUGUACAAAGAUUAAUUUAACAUUUUCUCUGGAAGUAUUAAUUUAGAAAGAUAAUAUGCCUCAUUGGUGUUGUGUUUUGAAGUGUGAAAUGCAAAGUAAUCGUGAUAAAGUUAGCUUUUACCACUUACCAUCAGUGCUACAUUCUAAGCACAAAACUGAACCAAUUUAACUAAAUAAGUUAUAGUUAUCAUCUGAGAGACAACAACAAUGGUAAAAUGCAAUAAAAUAUAAAGAUUUUACUAGCAAAAUGGAAAUUCCCCUGUAAUCAUCUUAUAUCUGGAAAACCAGCCGACUUAACUGAUAAUAACAAUCCAGAUUGGGUUCCUUCAAUAAAUAUGGGGUAUAUAAACACAAUGAAAUGAGUUCCCCAAAAUCUAAAAUGGGAAUUAAGGUACCAAAGGAGAAUUAAAAGAAAAGGGUACCUACAAGAAAAAAUUGCUUUUUUAUUCCUCUUGAAAUGAUUUAUAAGACACUGGACUGUCUUAUAUUCUACAAAUACUAGGUAGGUCUAUGAUUUUACACAUUUUUCAUUAAUGAUACAUUACUGUUACUUUAGUAGAUUUAGAAACAGUGGAUAGUUAGUGGUAGAUAGUAGUUAUUUGGUAUAAAAGCUAGUUUAGUAGAAGACAAGAUUUUGCCAAAUAGUCAAACAUAUAUUACAAUGGAAAAAUUAACAAAUACAUUUUAUGUCAUUAAUAUUAACACAGGAUUUUAAAUAUCAGCUUAAGAAAUUAGCUUUAUCUUGUGAAAGUAUAGAAAAUGAUGAUGCCAAAACUAAAAAUUAUACUGGUUUAGCAAAUUACAAUGUUUUUAAAAUAGCUUUAAAGUAUAUUACACCAUUUAUCAAAUACCAUCAAAAUACUGUUUUGUCACCAAGUGAUCAAGUAUUGCUUACUUUAGCUAAACUAAGCUUAAACUUAGAUUAUAAAGAUUUGGGAUAUAGGUUUAGUAUUUCACCCUACCCGGUAUCAACUUAUUUCAAAAAUACUUUGUAUAUAAUGUGUCUUAGGUUAAAAAAUUUGUGUUCUGGCCUGAUAGAGAUAUUUUAAAGAAAACUAUGCAAAAUUCACUUAAAGAAUCUUUUCAUGGAAAUACUACAGGUAUAAUUGACUUUGGACGAAUGUUUGUAUGAAACGAAUUAUUUAUUGUUCUGAAGCUAGUUAUUUGAGGCAUUUUUGUAAUUAACUAUUCUAAUUGGGAAAUAAGCCACAAUUUAACUUAAAAAAUAAUUUUAUUAAUCUUUCGACUUCCAAAUCAGACGUCAUUGUCAAAAUACAAAAUAUUAUUAUUUAUGCAUAUUAUUACCUGUAAAUAUUUCUUCUGAUUGUUAAUUGUAAAGGAUUGAAAAAUUACCAUUUAUUUUAUUUUUUUUAGAAUCAGCUGAGAGAAGUGGUCUACAAAAACCCAGGAAGGAAACGGAAUAUGUGGCUACGAAAGGCAAAAGAAAGGUUUACAAAGCAAAUGUGACACAUUUUUUUGAAAUAUGUAGGAAUAUCAGUAAAUUGCAUUAAAAAAAUGUAUGAAAAGAUUUUGUUCAAUAAAAAUGUUUAUAUUUA